rnacentral:lncRNA from 1 species
GGGAUUGGUUGAGACGUCGAAGGGCAGGGACGGACGAUGUUCCCAAAAGUUGGAGGACAGUUGGUCCAGGACGGAGAGAAUAGAGAGAGAACACAGAGAAGAAGGAGAGAAGAGAAGAGAGAAGAGAAAAAACUUUUGGUGUGUCCGUCGUCUUGUCUAGAUGUCUGUCUAAGUGUCUUCUGUCUCAUAGAACUAUCCAUCAAAUCUGUGAAACCAACUUUAGAAGUAGAAGAAUUUAAGCCAGCUCUCUCUCAGAAGGUAUUGUUUAUAGUAGAGGAAAGAAAUUCCUUUUUGUUAAGGUUAGGACAGGCUAUUAUAA